rnacentral:sRNA from 2 species
CCGGAUGCCCGGUCGACAUCUGUGCAUCGGCAGGAGUGGAGGACCCAGUAAGGCGGGCCGUCCGGGAGACCGGCCGGUCCUUGGGGUGAAGUCGUACGCGACCGGGCAUCUUCGCCUGCCCGAACCCGACAGGUCAUCCUUCACAGGCGGCUGACGAAGGGUUGC